rnacentral:rRNA from 1 species
CCCUUAGAUGUUCUGGGCAGCACGCGCGCUACAAUGGUCUUCGCAAACGGAUGCAUUCUCGAAGGAGAAUGCCAAUCUUGGAAUCUAUGCCUUGGUCGGGACAGUUGCUUGCAAUUUUUCGACUCGAACCAGGAAUUCCUUGUAAUCGUGAUUCAUCACAUCACGAUGAAUACGUCCCUGCCCUUUGUACACACCGCCCGUCGCUCCUACCGAUCGAAGAGUUAGGUGAAUUGUUUUGAUCGAUAAGAUUUGAUUAUGGUCAGCUCUCGUUGUGAAAUUCUGUGAAUCUGACUGUUUAGAGGAAGGAAAAGUCGUAACA